rnacentral:rRNA from 1 species
UACGUAGGGGGCGAGCGUUAUCCGGAAUUACUGGGCGUAAAGCGCGCGCAGGCGGUUUUCCAAGUCAGUGGUGAAAGCCCGGAGCUCAACUCCGGAAAUGCCAUUGAAACUGUAAACUUGAGGACGAGAGAGGUGAGUGGAAUUCCCGAGUGUAGAGGUGAAAGUCGUAGAUAUUGGGAAGAACACCGGUGGCGAAGGCGGCUCACUGGCUCGUUUCGUGACGCUCAGGCGCGAUAGCGUGGGGAUCAAACAGG